CCAGCCUUCUUGUGGCAUUGUCGUUGUCUUGGUGCCGCAAGCAUUCAUGGUCAUAAAUCACAGGGCCGUGGUACUGCUGUGACUGGACGUGUCCAACAAGGGACAAUUAAAACUGUUGACCAUGUUGAGAUCUUUGGUUUGUCAGAGUUCUAAGGCAAGCACAUGUCUAAGGCAUGAAUUUUUUUAGUUGCCACUGGCUUGUUGAUCUUUGCUGGUUCUGGCCUAGCAUUUUUUUAUGGAUUCCAGCUCGGUGCCUUUGAAUUUAUGUAAUGCCACUAUGAAGCAGCUUCAGACAUUAGCUCAGGAGCUUCCUCGUGUUAGUUAUGGCACGCAUAAUACAUCUUAGACGUGACGAUGCAGGGCAGCGAACAGCUCCCAGUGCUUUUGGUUUAUUAUUUGCCCUUGAUUUACCUGCCAGGUCAAAUUUGUGCAGCACUUAAUGCUCUGUGCCAUGAUGUCUAUGUUGCUUCAUUAGACAAUCUUCACCGCUAUUUUGAUUACAGUUUCCUCCCAGACCUCCAACCGUACUAGGGAUAGUGCUUGAUAUUUUCACCACCUAUAUGGUUGAAUGUUACUGUUGAGAAAAUCACCAGCUCAUUGCUGUGAGUGCUUGAUGUUUUCACACAAUGUUUUGUCCAUUUAAGCAAAUACCUGAUGGCUUAGGCCGACAAACAUUUUUUUAAAGUUAAUCAAUGCCUUUUACAAGAACCUAACAUCGUCUCUUUCUACAAAGGGCCUUGUUUUUUUCGUUCAAGAAUUCUGUAGUCCUUCAGAUAUCCAGCUACCAAGAUGGACUGAAUUAUGAUUAGGCAAAAUGUUGAUAAAUCAUCCUACUAUUGUGAUGAUAUAGAAUCUACUCUUUUAAGCAUAUACGCCAAGUAAAACACUGAAAAAAUAUUUCACUUAAGAGUGUGCCACCUUAUUAUCCUAGUUUGAAGUGUAACUCAAUGCUACUGCUUAAUUCAUGGCCUGCUCACUAACCUGAAUGGUUGAUUCUUUUUUCUCUUGUUACUUGUCGGGUUUCAAAAUAUGGUGGUUGCAUAUUUGCAGGCUCCAUUUUAGGUUUUAUUCGAGUCAUGUAUGUGCAAGUUAAAAUCCACUUAUACGUAUGGUAUACACAUAUAAGAAAGGAGAAAUCUUGUGAUAUACUUGUUGUUAGGUACCUUCUGAGUUCUGAUUGUUUAAUGUGCCAAUGCUCUCUACAUCUUGUCCACUCUUAAACAGAGCUGUCCUUAAUUGUUGUGAGCUCUUUCUUAGACCCUUGUAUCUUUUCCUUUCUUCUUUGGAUAUAACCAAGUCUUCUCAAUACUCGCUGAUGCAGUUAAAGCGUGCACAACAGAGAUUGUUAAACACAAGACAAAGUUAGCGAAAAAGGCACCAAUAACAUGAUUUGAUGAAUUUCCAUUUCUUCUUUGUAUCAUAGAUGAACAAACCGUUGCAAGAACAGGAGAGAGCAUGCCUGUACUUUGUUGAGACCUUCCCAUGCUCUCAUACUUCCAUUUCGGUUACUCUCGGAUUAGGUUCAGGAAGUCGAACAAGGACUAGCCCACCGGUGGUUGUCCCCC